UAGGGAAUCUUCCACAAUGGACGCAAGUCUGAUGGAGCAACGCCGCGUGAGUGAAGAAGGUUUUCGGAUCGUAAAGCUCUGUUGUUGGUGAAGAAGGAUAGAGGUAGUAACUGGCCUUUCUUUGACGGUAAUCAACCAGAAAGUCACGGCUAACUACGUGCCAGCAGCCGCGGUAAUACGUAGGUGGCAAGCAUUGUCCGGAUUUAUUGGGCGUAAAGCGAGCGCAGGCGGAAGAAUAAGUCUGAUGUGAAAGCCCUCGGCUUAACCGAGGAACUGCAUCGGAAACUGAUUAUCUCGAGUGCACAAGAGGAGAGUGAAAUUCCAUGUGUAGCGGGGGAAUGCGUAGAUAUAUGGAAAGACACCAGUGGCGAAGGCGACUAUCUGGUCUGCAACUGACGCUGAGGAUCGAAAGCAUGGGUAGCGAACAGG
rnacentral:rRNA from 1 species